AUUGAACGCUGGCGGCAGGCCUAACACAUGCAAGUCGAACGAGUGGCGGACGGGUGAGUAAUGUCUGGGAAACUGCCCGAUGGAGGGGGAUAACUACUGGAAACGGUAGCUAAUACCGCAUACCAUCGGAUGUGCCCAGAUGGGAUUAGCUAGUAGGUGGGGGAAAGGCUAACCUAGGCGACGAUCCCUAGCUGGUCUGAGAGGAUGACCAGCCACACUGGAACUGAGACACGGUCCAGACUCCUACGGGAGGCAGCAGUGGGGAAUAUUGCACAAGGGGCGCAAGCCUGAUGCAGCCAUGCCGCGUGUAUGAAGAAGGCCUUCGGGUUGUAAAGUACUUUCAGCGGGGAGGCGUUACCCGCAGAAGAAGCACCGGCUAACUCCGUGCCAGCAGCCGCGGUAAUUC
rnacentral:rRNA from 1 species